rnacentral:rRNA from 1 species
AAUCAACGCUGGCGGCGUGCCUCAGACAUGCGAGUCGAACGCGAAAGCUCCCUUCGGGGAGCAAGUAGAGUGGCGCACGGGUGAGUAACACGUAGGUAAUCUACCUUUGGAUGGGGAAUAACAACCGGAAACGGUUGCUAAUACCGCAUAAUGCAGCGGCACCUAAUGGUGACAGUUGUUAAAGCGGGGGAUCGCAAGACCUCGCGUCUGAAGAGGAGCCUGCGGCAGAUUAGCUAGUUGGUAAGGUAACGGCUUACCAAGGCGAUGAUCUGUAGCCGGCCUGAGAGGGCGGUCGGCCACACUGACACUGACAUACGGGUCAGACUCCUACGGGAGGCAGCAGUCGGGAAUUUUGGGCAAUGGGCGAAAGCCUGACCCAGCAACGCCGCGUGAAGGAUGAAAUCCCUCGGGAUGUAAACUUCGCAAGAACGGGAAGAAUAAGUCGGUGUAAACACCACCGACGAUGACGGUACUGUUUGUAAGCUCCGGCUAACUCCGUGCCAGCACG